rnacentral:lncRNA from 1 species
CUUUCUGCCUCCAAAUAGCACAAUCAUUACAGCCUGACAGAUGGGGCCUUUGCUUUCAUUUCAGGCGCUCCCCUCGCCUUCAGGUAUUUAGCUACACUACCUCAUUGCCAGGUCAGCCGGGCCUCCUUGUAAUUGCCCACACGAUAGGCGUCUCUCUGCUUAAGAAUCACAGCUCUAUUUUCUCUAAACAGGAAACCAGAGAUGAGCUACCCAACGCUUGCCACAAACUUUCCUAUUAACAGAUUAGUUUUGACAGAGCACCAAACCUGGUCCUGCACUGUCUCCGUGACGCCAGCAACCCCAGACAAAACAGAACUGCUUCUAGGGGCACGUGACACUGUUUCCAGGAAUCAGCAGAGGAAUGACAAUGGUGAAGGCAGGAUGGCCAGAAUGAAAUCAACACUUAUGUGGAGUGGGUAUCUUCUCUU